rnacentral:lncRNA from 1 species
CCCGCGCCGCCCGGAUGCCCAGCUCCGCGCCGCGCGGACCCAACGAGCCCGCGCUCAGACUCCCCAGCUCCGCCGAGAGGACGCUCGCGCUGGGUCCUUCUUCUUCCCCAAGUGCAGGCAGAGCCCCCGGAGUCAUGGCCAGCCCUUCCGGCAGCUCCGAAGCCACUGGCAAGCCCUGAGGUAGGGAUGGCUGGCCCAGGAGGGAGGAGGACGACGUCCCUCCCGAAGAGAAGAGGCUGCGGCUGUUGCUGGAGGGGGGAAGCGCACAGCCCGAGGACUGCGAGGACGGGGAGGACGCGCCGCGGCCGGGCAGGGAGGAGACCGGCACCCAGACAGGUGGCGACGGCAAAGGAGCGGAAUUCUCCACGAGUUUUGAGCAGCCUCGGUUUUCCCACCCCCUCCAAAUCAUGGAAGAAACAGGGUAAGAGCAAAGACAAGGUGGCUGUGGCCUAUGUCUACCCUCUCGGGGCGUCCCUUGUCUUCUCUCCUCCUUGGGCAGGGAGACCAUCGGAGUGCAACCUGGCUGGGGCGGGGAGGAGGUGCAGGGCCUGGCCAGAGCGGGCCUGGCCACGGGCAAGGGACAGCGACCUCCUGGGCCAGGACAGGUGAGCGCGGCGCAGGCCCGGGCCCGGCGUGUCCGCGCUGCGCGGGAGAGGCCAGCAGAGGGCGCCAGAGAGCCAGGAGCGGCCCGCGGAGGAGCCCGCGCCCGCCCCGAUGCCCAGCUCCGCGCCUCGCGGACCCAGCAAGCUCGCGCUCAGACGCCCCAGCUCCGCCGAGAGGACGCUCGCCCCGGGUGCUUCUUUUUCCCCAAGUGCAGGCAGAGCCCCUGGAGCCAUGGCCAGCCCUUCCGGCAGCUCCGAAGCCACUGGCAAGCCCCGAGGCAGGGAUGGCCGGCCCAGGAGGGAGGAGGACGACGUCCCUCCUGAAGAGAAGAGGCUGCGAUAACCUUCACUCUUCUCUGCAACGAAUCCCAAAAGUGUGUAGUUGAGCUGACUGCAAGGUGCUUGACACGCAAGAGAUUCCACAAAUGGGAUUCGGCCUCUGGAAAGUGGUGGUAGUUCCAGAUUUAUGUGAAUGUUACUUUGUUUUUCCGCGGAAUUCUCCACGAGUUUUGAGCAGCCUCGGGUUUCCCACCACCUCCAAAUCAUGGAAGACACAGGUUCAGGCAGAGCCCGCGGAGCCAUGGGGGGAAGCGCACAGCCCGAGGACUGCGAGGACGGGGAGGACCCGCCGCUACCGGGCAGGAAGGAGACCGGCACCCAGACAGGUGGCGACGGCAAAGGAGCAGCACGGGCAGCCCUCCUCGCCAUGGGCAGGAUCAGAGCCCCCCCGCCCAGUCUUGGGGUUGCUCCUGGAUGCUGUCGCGGAAUUCUCCACGAGUUUUGAGCAGCCUCGGGUUUCCCACCACCUCCAAAUCAUGGAAGACACACGGUGCAGGCAGAGCCCCCCAGCCGUGGCCAGCCCUUCCGGCAGCUCCGAAGCCAGCAGGGAUGGCCGGCCCAGGAGGGAGGAGGACGACGUCCCUCCCGAAGAGAAGGACCGGCACCCAGACAGGUGGCGAAGGCAGAGGACUGGACUACACAGGCUGAAGCUCUCUCUGCCGAGAUAUAGAUAUUUCCCUGGCAAUGAUCUUUCAAGUUGACAUGAAGACAUGGCCAUCCGCUGGAACAUCGUGGGUCUGCCGUAGUGCUCUUGUAAUUUGUGAGGCAGGCUCCUGAUGAAUGCAGUGCGUGGUCAUUUUUCUUCUUGUGGCCUCUGGAAUGUGACACAGAACUCAAGGGACAGGCCAUCCUCCAGGGCCCACAAGUCCAUGACAGCUGCCUCUACCCCUGACCCUACUGACCUGAAAUGUGGCCCCUGCUUUCAUUUCCAGGAGCAUACAACACUUACACCAAGCAUUGAUGGGUUUUGUUGACUUCAUUUGAGAUGUGGGGCCGUGGAGAGGGUCCCAUGAUCCUUGCUUGGUGUUGGCCAACUCAUUGACUUCUCUCCUUUGACUUCACCCUUCCCUUUUCAACUCACCUCCUCUGUCAUGGAUUGCUCUGGGAAUUCUGAGCCCUGGUUCCUUUAUUUUGCAG